rnacentral:rRNA from 1 species
UGGUCUUGACAUCCCGGAGACCCUUAGGAAACUAGGGGGUGCUUCCAUCUGGAAGAAUCUGGAGACAGGUGCUGCAUGACUGUCGUCAGCUCGUGUCGUGAGAUGUUGGGUUAAGUCCCGCAACGAGCGCAACCCUUGCCUUUAGUUGCCAGCAGUUCGGCUGGGCACUCUAAAGGGACUGCCGGUGUUAAACCGGAGGAAGGUGGGGAUGACGUCAAGUCCUCAUGGCCUUUAUGACCAGGGCUACACACGUACUACAAUGGCCGAUACAAAGGGCAGCGACACUGCGAGGUGAAGCCAAUCCCGUAAAAUCGGUCUCAGUCCGGAUUGGAGUCUGCAACUCGACUCCAUGAAGUUGGAAUCGCUAGUAAUCGUGGAUCAGCAUGCCACGGUGAAUACGUUCCCGGGCCUU